AACCAGCACCUCAAGUGGUCAGGAUGAUUAUUGGGCCUAAAGCAUCCGUAGCCUGCUCUGUAAGUUUUCGGUUAAAUCUAUGCGCUCAACGUAUAGGCUGCCGGAAAUACUGCAGAGCUAGGGAGUGGGAGAGGUAGACGGUACUCGGUAGGAAGGGGUAAAAUCCUUUGAUCUAUUGAUGACCACCUGUGGCGAAGGCGGUCUACCAGAACACGUUCGACGGUGAGGGAUGAAAGCUGGGGGAGCAAACCGG
rnacentral:rRNA from 1 species